UACGAAGGGGGCUAGCGUUGCUCGGAAUCACUGGGCGUAAAGGGUGCGUAGGCGGUUCGUUAAGUCGGAUGUGAAAGCCCUCGGCUCAACUGAGGAAGUGCACCCGAAACUGGCGAGCUUGAGUACGAAAGAGGAUCGCGGAAUUCCCGGUGUAGAGGUGAAAUUCGUAGAUAUCGGGAGGAACACCGGUGGCGAAGGCGGCGAUCUGGGUCGAUACUGACGCUGAGGUGCGAAAGCGUGGGGAGCAAACAGG
rnacentral:rRNA from 1 species